rnacentral:lncRNA from 1 species
GUGGACUCCUCUUUUAGAAAAAGUUGUUUAAAAUAUGAUGUAACUCUCCUCUUUUUGAGUACAAAAUUCUAAGUUUUCAAAGGUUUUGUAUAAAAGAACUAUACAUUCCUUGGUAUUUCUAUUUUCUUUUCUACAUCAGUAAAAUUACCCCUUGUCUGAGGGAGGGUUGUUCUCAACCUGAUAAUAACAAACACAGGUCAAAGUACGGCCUUUUACACAGGGCUUUGAUGCAGACCAAACAGCAGGCUAUAAAGGACCCCAAAAUUAUAAGGGUACACAAUUCGAACAGGAAAACCAACGAUCUAAUUUAUAUAUCAUGUAUAUCCAAACGGGAAAAUAUCAAUGAACAACAUCAACAACGAUAACUGCUGAACGACAGGCCCUCAAUCAAUCAGGACAGGUGCAUAAACAUGCAGCGGCUAUGGAUAGUUUUGUUUCGCCAGCAUACAAUAUAAUUGCAGUUGAAGGCAAAUCCUUCAGAAG